rnacentral:rRNA from 1 species
UACGUAGGGGGCGAGCGUUGUCCGGAAUCAUUGGGCGUAAAGCGCGUGUAGGCGGUCCGGUAAGUCCGCUGUGAAAGCCAGGGGCUCAACCCUUGGAUGCCGGUGGAUACUGUCGGGCUUGAGUACGGAAGAGGCGAGUGGAAUUCCUGGUGUGGCGGUGAAAUGCGCAGAUAUCAGGAGGAACACCAAUUGCGAAGGCAGCUCGCUGGGACGUUACUGACGCUGAGACGCGAAAGCGUGGGGAGCAAACAGG